AGUAUCAAAAGCUACACUGAUUAUUUCCCUAAAAAAUAGACAAUAAAAUAAUGCCUACUAAAUUAUAGGAGAAAGAUGUAAGGGGAGGGGGAUAAAUCAGCAUUGGUCUUCAAGGAACUUAUUUGCUGAGAAAAUUACAUUAAAAUGUGAAAAGACAACUCAAUAUAUCAGUAAAUGAUUUGAAUCAAAGAAAUACUUGAGAAAAUAGAUUUUUCUUUCUCUGUUUAGAUCAGAGGGAGAAGAGAACCUGAAGCUCUGGGUUGAAAGGUAUUUUUAAGGUUAAUUUGUCCAGUCAAAGCAACCCUUAAGUGCCAGUCAGGUAUUUUGGGUGAAGGCCUUUCAAGUCAGAUGUCUUGGGUGAAGGGGAACUCACCACUUAUCUCCAUUAAGUCAGGGAUUUUAUUUACAGAAUGUUUAUCACAGAGUAAAGUUCAUUGUGUGAAUGAAUGAAUAAUUUCCAAAGCAGUUCAUUUCAUCUUUGUACACUUUAUUACUUUUUUUCUUGUAUUACACAAAAUUGGUUUUCCUGAAACUUCCAACCAGUCUUAGUUCUGUCAUUUGCAGCCAAACAGAACAAAUCUGUUGUAUCCAUCAGGAUAGGCUAUAUUCUGCUGAAUAACAAACAAUUCCAAUUUUUAGUGGCCUAAUAUAGCAAAAAUUGUUUUCUUAACUGUGCCAUGAAUCCAUUGCAGGUCAGCGGGUCUGUUCCCUGUCUUUCAUUCUAGAUUCCUGGCUAGUGGAAGAGUCACUAUUUUGAAUAUUUCAUCUUGCUGUGGAAAAAUAAAGAUCACUGUGGAUGGUUUCAUGCUGACAUUUAAAUGUUAUGGCCCAGAAAUGACACACAUCCUUUGGGCUCACAACUAGAACUGGUUGUGUCGCUCUAAAGAAUCAUCACAAGGAGAUCAGAUAGUGCAGCCUCCCUUGUGCCCAAGGUUAGAGAGCUGACUACUGUACUGGUAGUAACUCUUGUCCGUAUGAUACCCUGCCAGCUAAACUAUCCCUUCUUGCCACUCUAUGGCCCAAAUCUUAAAUGCCGAAACGAUAUGACUUCUUUCACCAUCUGCUCUCUCUUUGCAGCUCUACAACAAUCCCCCCUCCAAAGUGUAGCACGCCUUCACUUUUAAGUAUACUCUUUUAUAUUUACUAAUAUUAUAUCGAUUUUAUUUUCUCAAGGCUUGUUUUCCUGGCAAGGGUAUAAUAAACAGGAACUUUAACAACUAAUAUCUGAAAACAGCAUGAUAAUUACCAAAAUUUGAAAUGUGGUCUUGAGUAGUUACUUCUCUUAUUGUAAAGAUAAAUGCAUUAUGUAAUCUUGUAACACAAAUUUUAAAAAUUCAUUCAUUCAUUCAUUUAUCCUACUUGUUCAUUCAAUAAAUAUUCAUUGCAUACCUAGUAGAUGCCAGGCACUCUAUUAAGGACUGAGGAUAUGGAGAUGAUUAAGAGUUUUUCUCUUCAUGAAACAUAUUUUCCAAUUGGGCAAACAGACAUAAAAAGUCAUUACAAUGCUAAUAGAGGCAGAAAGUAUUAUGGGAACACUUAGGAAGAAGCAAAUAGCUAGCUGGCAGGACUUAGGAAAGUUCCAUAGAAGAACUGACACUAGAACUAAGUCUUGAGGAUAAGUAAGACUGCUUUAGGUAGAAAUGGAAGAUGGAGGAAGGAUAUUUUUAAGCAUGGAGACCAGCAUGGACAAAGGCACUGAGGAUGGCAAAGCUUAUUUAUGGAACUCUAAGGAAUCCAGUGAGACUGGAAGACAUGGGGUCUUUGUAAAGGCUGAUAAUUGUGAAGGACCCUGCAGACACUCUCUGGAGUUCGGAUGUUUUCCCGUUCUUCUGGGAUUGCAGACUCUCAUGGCCACCUUGGACCAGGCAUGGAUGUAUGUGGCCAAACAGAGCAAGUAAAGACUGUAAGCCAUGGUGAGAACUAUGGCAAUCUGAAGAAUAUAUUCUCUGUCUAAAUGGGAUAGUAAAUGCCAGUGAUAUCAAAUGUCAGAUCUCCAAUUUCAAGAGAAAGGCUAAAAAUUCAGAUUUAUAUGAAAAAUUGAAUAUUAAAUGUGGACGACUUACCCAUGUUUUAAAGUAUGCCUCUAGUCCUUAAGCUGAUUUUGGCCUGCAGACAUGUUUGGUAUAGCUUAUGUAUGUACAUUUUUAGUGAAGGCCAAAAUAUUUAUUAAUACCCAUCAGAGUAUGGUAGGCCCCCUUUCCACGAAGGAUAUGUUCUAAGACUCCCAAUGUAUGCCCUGUAUAUACUGCUUUUUCCUGCACAUACACACCUAUGGUAAGGUUUAAUUUGUAAAUUAGGCACAGUAAGAUUAAUAUCAAUAAGUAAUAAGAAAAUUGAACAAUUAUACUAAAAUAAAAGUUAUGUGAAUGUGGUCUGUCUCUCUCUCAAAAUAUCUUAUUGUACUGUACUCACCUAUUUUCAGAUCAUGGUUGACCUCAGGUAACUAAAACCCUGGAAAGCAAAACUGUAGAUCUGGGACGAAUACUGUAUAUUUUAACUCAGUCUACCCAUUCCCCACAUGCCAAAGGCUGUCUUGAAGUAUUUAAUUUUUGUUAUUGUUUUAAAAAUGGAGUCCACUAAUUCCUUAUUCUUCUAGCUCCUCUCUUGCUUUGACGCUACUCUUGCUUGCCACUCAACAGUCAGAAAUAUGCAACAACAUCCCACACUCUCCUAUAAACUUUAAAAUGUUGGAAACACUAGGUAUCUUCUCAUAAGGCAUGCGGGCCAUUUACUUGUAGGUUUGGUCCCAUGGGUACAUCCAUAUUCUUAAAGUCAUUCAAUUCACUGGACCAUCAAGUCUUUAAAUUCUUAACAACUUGGCUUGACAGGCUGUAAAUUUUUAUUCAACUUUCUUGACUAAAAGAAAAUCAACUUUCUUGACUUUUAUUGUAUAAUUUAUAUACAGUAAAACUCAUCCAUUUUAUGUGUUACAUGAGUUUUGAAUAUGAAGGGGCAACGCGAGCAAAUUAUAUUUUAAGUAAACUUCAGAGUAAAUAAUGUACGUAAAGCAGCCUUAAGUGUUUAACUACCUAGAUUCUAAUCCUGGUUCAGCUAGUUACUAUUGCAUGGCCUUGAGCAAGUCUCCUAAUUUCUUUCUGCCUCAAUUUCCUCAUCUAUGUGACAGGGAUACUAAUAGUACCCACCUCUUGGAAGUAGUGAAUGCACAGUGCUUCAACAUGGAGUAAAUAAAGACUAACAGUUGUUUCUAUUGUUAUUAAUAUUGUUGUCAUUAUUAUUCUAGUAGAAAAGAACUCCUGGGAUAUCAACGAGAAGAAAAAAAUGAAUUUACUGGGAUAUAAGUGGGGCAUAAGAUGUUGCAGGCCUCCGUUCUUGCAGGAGUUGAGCUGCAGAACCCUCCUGUGAAUCCUCUUAGGCAUGUUAUGUUAUGACAUACUGUCACUCGCUCCUUAAGGUGGAUUUACCAUCUAAGUCUCAAGCCAGCAUUUCACAACCAGUGAGAAAUGGUCACCAGAAGAACUAGAAGAGUAUGGCAAUAGUGAAAUUCCUUUUCCCUCUUCAAAAAACAGAUCAAAGGAUUCAACCAGCAAGUAGUAAAUCAAUGAAAAGCAAUAAUGAGGUGAGAAACAAUGUUACUGAAAGGUGAUCUCAAGAGUAUUGUUAUAUAUAUGAUUUACUUUCUUAUGUAGGCAGCUACUGGACAGUUUCUUAUUGUCAUAGUAUAAUUUGAUGCAAUUUCAUGUGCUCCUUUUGCCACAUGAGGUUAAAUGGAAUUGGAUGAGGUCCCCUCUAACAUGCCUUCAGUGUCUAAAAUUGGCAAAUUUCUAAGCAGUUCUGGGCUUUAGUACCUCCACUUAAAAACUGGAAUAAUAGGAUUUAUCUAUGAUUUAUCUGUUAGGUUAUGAGGGCAAAAAUGUCGUAACAUAAAACAACUGGCAUCCCACAGGCACUUAAUUAAUGCUAGUCCUCCCCGUCCCUAUUUAUGAAGAUAGAAAGAAAAGAGUUAACAGACAACUCCACUUUUAUUUUCAAAUAUUUAGGUUAGU